GCAGCUUACAUUCUACAGACACCACCCAACCUCCGUCUAAUUUCUGAUGCAGAGCUGGAAGGCGGGUUAUGCUGGUGAACUACCUCAGAUUCAGGCUGUGGCUUCCUAAAGGAGGACCUCUUACCCCCUCUUCAGGAAGUGACUAAAGGACCAGGGCUGGGAGUAGGGGACUCUGCCUACUCAAGCCUCAGCCAGGCCUGGAGGCUCAAGGGUGUGUAGGGUUUGGGUAGAGGUGUUGGGUCUCUCUCUACCUGCUGGGCAGGAGAUCAGCGGUCUGUCUCUGGUGGAGGGAUUUGUGACAAAUGCCCGCCUGGCACAACAGGGAACAGGUCCCCCUUUCCUGGGCCUUUGGGAUGCACAGUGUGCUCCUGCACACAGGAGUACAUGCCCCGGGGUCCUGUCUUACCAGGUAGGCGUCGGACCUGGGAGGGAACCGGGUUGAGGCUUUGGGCGGGGAUGCUGGCCAGGCUUCGGGCUGCAAACAAGCAAAGAAAGGUGGUGAGCAAGACGAGCGGUGGCCAGGAACAAAGCCUCCGGCAAAAGAGAAGUAAACAAGCAACCACAGGAAGCCAUUAAGCAGAGUGGGCGCUAAUGAGUGCGCGGCAGGGCCCUGCGCACCCGCCCCGCUAAAACCACCGGGGACUGCCUAGCCGGGCAAUUUGGAGCCCAGAGUCCUGCUGGCAGGCUAUAAACCUGUUUGUAGUCCCCAUCGGUUCCCCCUUCAAGUUUGUGUCGUUAGGAGUGAAGAGGAAAGACCAUCGGAUGCUGUGAUCUCUUCUCAGGACCUGCAGUUGCUGGGGGCAGAUGGGCUUCCAACUCCAAGAAAAGAAGAAAAGGCUUUGGACUCUUCCCAAAGGAACAAGGAUCAGAUUUGAUAGAGGGAGACCUCCCCCCCAAAGGUCUUGGCUGCAGUAGGAGAAAAGCAGAAAGACCAGAUGCACUGAUGAUAAGCAUCAGUAACCUUCAUGUGGAAUAGCUUCAACUAUGGCAAGCUAGACACUGGACAAGAAAAGGCCCUGACUUCAUCUGCAGACAAAAUGCUGCCCAGAAAAGACAAGCAGACACAGGGAAGUCAACUGCCUAACUCUGCCAAGACAGAGUAAGCGAGUCCUUCAUAACUCCUGCUUUUCUUUUUUUUUUUUUUUUUUUUUUUUGGUUCUUUUUUUCGGAGCUGGGGACUGAACCCAGGGCCUUGCACUUCCUAGGCAAGCGCUCUACCACUGAGCUAAAUCCCCAACCCCAUAACUCCUGCUUUUCAAACGGUCUGUCAGCUGUUCUGGGCUAGAAGGCUGAAGAUGGAUGCUCCAACAAUGUAGGGAGUUUUGGCACUGUCUGGGUGGUCGGCAGUCUCUGUCAUUUUUAUUAUUUUUGGAAGCUAUGCUCCAGCACCUCCUACAUACUCAGGUAAUGUUUAUUCCUUCUCAGGUCUAGGAUGGAUUAAAGACUAGUCAUAGUCUUACUAUAAGCUUAAGUUGUUUAGAAUUUAAAAAGAUAUAAGUUUAAGAAAAUAUCUUUAAGUUAAUAGUACAAAUUAGGAUAGAAAUUGAUUUAGAUGUAGAACUCUAAGUACACUAAGAUAGGAUAGACAAUUGAAAUUUUUCCUUAUCGGGGUUGGGGAUCUAGCUCAGUGGUAGAGCGCUUGCCUAGCAAGCCAAAAGCCCUGGGUUUGGUCCCCAGCUCCAAAAAAAAAAAAAAAAAAAAAAAAAAAAAGAAAAAGAAAAAGAAAAAAGAAAAGAAAAAAAAAGAAAUCUUUCCUUAAUUGCCAAGUACUAUGGAUUGGACAUUAUAAAUGUAUACAUAAACUUAUAGUUUUCAUAAUUGUUUCAUAAUUGUUAUAAUUGUAUUCAAUUUAUAUUUGAAAGAGAAGGAGUCUUUCAUUGGACUAAAGAGGGGAAUUAUAGAGAGAGUAUCUGUGUAUUGUAUGGAUUCAUCACCUGUCAAAAAGCCUGUAGCCUAUGGCUUAGGCAGGAAAUAGAGGUGGGACAUCCUGGAGAGAGAAAGAAUCUGGGAUAGAGCCAGUUGCAGGAAGAUUACCCUGGGAAGAUGUGAGGAGAGGGACACCUGGUGCCUGAGCUCGGGUAACCGGUCACGUUGUAGAAUAUAGGUUAAAUAAAUGGGUUAACUCUAGUUAUAAUCUAGUCUGGCUGUGGCAUUUGUAAGUAUAUUUUGAGUCUGAGUCUUAUUUCUGGAAGUAUGAGGCUAAGAGGAAGAACCAAGCCUGACUUCUACAUGCAUGUGUAGCACAUGUGCAUCUGCUGGAUCUCCUGGAACUACAGUUAUAGAUGACUGUGAGCCACCAUACAAAUGCUGGGAAUCAAACUCAAGUUCUUUGCAAGAGCAACAAGAGCUCUUACCUUCUAAGACAUCUCUCCAGUCCUGGUCAUGUUUAGUUUUUAUUUCUGUGGUAACUGUUUUCAGCUUUGUGAGCAGUGACAAUUAGAGAUACUGGAAUGGCAAACUGUUUUCAUGUUCCAGUUUAUGUUUCCUUGCCCUGGGUUCUCUCCAGGUGCUUCCUUGGCUCUACAGUUUAAAGCAGCCUGUCACUGUUAUGGUAACAAUGUAUCUGGUGCUGUUUUUGUGAAUGGAGAAUAUUGUUUGAGAAUUUACUCAAAAGCGUUUGUACACUGGCAUCAAUUCAAUCAUAAGAAUUUAGCAUGUUUCCACAUUUACUGUUUUGUUUGUUUGUUUCUCUGUGUAGCCCUGGCUGUACUGGAACUAUCUGUGUAGACGAGGCUGGCCUCGAACUCAGAGAUCUGCUUACCUCUGCUUCCCAGUGACAGGACUAAAGGUGUGAGCCACCACUGCUCUGCUCCGCUCCAUUUACAUUUAAUUAUUUUUUUUUUUUACAUUUUUACAUUUCAUUGACUUUCUUAAAAUAGGAAAGAUGUUUUCAUUAUACUCUCUAUAUGUUCUUUGGGGAAGCCUAAAAUCCUGUUCCCCAAGAGACAAAAACGAACUUCCCUUCCAACACUUAAAUGAGGAAAUUGAAAAUUUGCUUUUCGUACUUAAAAACUUAUCCAUUUAAAAACUGAUUAAAAACAGCUUUGGCUCUUUGGGGAGCCUGCAAGAUUGCUUAGUGAGUAAAGGUGCUAGCUGCCAAGCCUGACUAUCUGAGUUUAAUCCCUGAGACCCACAUGGUGAAAAGAGACAACAUACUCCCCUAAACUGUUCCCUGAUCUCCACCUUUUUAUCACGGUGCAUGUGAGAGAGCCAGAGUUGGGGCCAAUCUGGGGCCAGUGGGAAAAUUCCCACCACAAACCUCUGAGCACAAGGACCCCUCCCUUCCAGAAAGAAAAGAAGCUGGUUUAGUUCCUGGAACAGCUACAAGCCAAACUGUCAUACAAAGCUACCUGUGGCUUCCAACUGACCCCCCCCUGGGGAAAGUCUUGAACAGUGUACUGAGUCCAAUCUGAUAGUUGUUUCCCUCCACCAAAUUUGCAUAGUACCCUGCCUAAUUACUAUUGUACAAAUUCUGCCCCAAUUGUUUACAAGGUACAUAACUCUCUGUCAGAGUCUCCCCUUGAAGUAGGAGGACCCCAGCAUGUCAGAAUUAAACUCCUCUUGUUUUUGCAUCGAUCACUGCCACUGUGAGUCUCAUUCAAGAGGUCCUGGAAGAGGUUCAAUUUACUACCCUAAAUUGUUCCCUGAUCUCCACCUUUGCAUACACAUGGGAAUAAAUACAUACACUAAAAAGUGUGUAUCCCACUAGUGGUUAGGAUACAGUACAUGAGCCACAAAGCAGAGAGAUGGUGCUGACUCCACACCACUCCCUUCUCUGCUGCUGCUGUGUAUCCCAGGCUUGUAAUGUAUGUGCUAUACUCUUGGUUCAGAGCCCCCUUCACUGUUCUUCCAUGAGUCUAGAGCUGUCUCAGAGGGUGCUGUGGGGUGCAGAGGCCCCAGGACAACUUGGUGACCUCUAGCCACCCAUCUAAGCUUGCUGUGGUAAUGGUCUUAGGCCCAGUCAAUGAUAAGCCUGGCUUUCACUCCUCUCUCACAGCCCUAUGAGAGUCCUAUGCCAUUCUUCCUGUUUUAUCUCCUGAGCCUUUUCAUUUCAGCUUGAUGUAGAAAAAUAAAUAAACAUGGAAAAGUGAAAA